rnacentral:rRNA from 1 species
UACAGAGGUCUCAAGCGUUGUUCGGAUUCAUUGGGCGUAAAGGGUGUGUAGGUGGCGCGCUAAGUCGGGUGUGAAAUUUCGGAGCUUAACUCCGAAACUGCAUUCGAUACUGGCGUGCUUGAGGACUGGAGAGGAGACUGGAAUUCAUGGUGUAGCAGUGAAAUGCGUAGAGAUCAUGAGGAAGACCAGGGGCGAAGGCGGGUCUCUGGACAGUUCCUGACACUGAGACACGAAGGCCAGGGGAGCAAACGGG